rnacentral:rRNA from 1 species
GACGAACCUUGCUAACGUUAUUCGGAAUUACUGGGCGUAAAGGGCGUGUAGGCGGUUUGUUAAGUCUGGCGUGAAAGCUCUCGGCUAAACCGGGAGAGGUCGUUGGAUACUGGCAAACUUGAGGAUGGUAGAGGCGUGUGGAAUUCCGGGUGUAGUGGUGAAAUGCGUAGAGAUCCGGAGGAACACCAGUGGCGAAGGCGACACGCUGGGCCAUACCUGACGCUAAAGCGCGACAGCAUGGGGAGCAAACGGG